rnacentral:rRNA from 1 species
CCUACGUGAGGCAGCAGUGGGGAAUAUUGGGCAAUGGGCGCAAGCCUGACCCAGCAACGCCGCGUGAAGGCAGAAGGCUUGCGGGUUGUAAACUUCUUUUCUGAGGGACGAAGAAAGUGACGGUACCUCAGGAAUAAGCCACGGCUAACUACGUGCCAGCAGCCGCGGUAAUACGUAGGUGGCACGCGUUAUCCGGAUUUAUGGGGUGUAAAGGGCGUGUAGGCGGGAAAGCACGUCAGAUGUGAAAACUCAGGGCUCCACCCUGAGCCUGCAUUUGAAACUGUUUUUCUUGAGUGCUGGAGAGGCAAUCUGAAUUCCAUGUGUAGCGGUGAAAUGCGUAGAUAUACGGAGGAACACCAGUGGCGAAGGCGGAUUGCUGGACAGUAACUGACGCUGAGGCGCGAAAGCGUGGGGAGCAAACAGGAUUAGAUACCCGUGUAGUC